rnacentral:rRNA from 1 species
GGAGAAGCAGGGGAUCGCAAGACCUUGCGCUUUUGGAGCGGCCGAUGCCUGAUUAGCUUGUUGGUGAGGUAAAAGCUCACCAAGGCUCCGAUCAGUAGCUGGUCUGAGAGGACGACCAGCCACACUGGGACUGAGACACGGCCCAGACUCCUACGGGAGGCAGCAGUGGGGUAUUUUGGACAAUGGGGGCAACCCUGAUCCAGCCAUGCCGCGUGAGUGAAGAAGGCCUUCGGGUUGUAAAGCUCUUUCAGCCGGAACGAAACGGUCACGGUCAAUACCCGUGACUACUGACGGUACCGGAAGAAGAAGCACCGGCUAACUACGUGCCAGCAGCCGCGGUAAUACGUAGGGUGCGAGCGUUAAUCGGAAUUACUGGGCGUAAAGCGUGCGCAGGCGGUUUUGUAAGUCAGAUGUGAAAUCCCCGGGCUUAACCUGGGAACUGCGUUUGAAACUACAAGGCUAG